rnacentral:rRNA from 1 species
AAUCAACGCUGGCGGCGUGCCUCAGACAUGCAAGUCGAACGAUUAAAGCUCUCUUCGGAGAGUGUAUAGAGUGGCGCACGGGUGAGUAACACGUAAGUAAUCUACCCUCGAGUGGGGAAUAACAACCGGAAACGGUUGCUAAUACCGCAUAAUGCAGCGGCACCGCAAGGUGACAGUUGUUAAAGAUUUAUCGCUUGAGGAGGAGCUUGCGGCAGAUUAGCUAGUUGGUAGGGUAACGGCUUACCAAGGCUACGAUCUGUAACCGGUCCUAAGAGGACGGUCGGUCACACUGACACUGAAUAACGGGUCAGACUCCUACGGGAGGCAGCAGUCGGGAAUUUUGGGCAAUGGGCGAAAGCCUGACCCAGCAACGCCGCGUGAAGGAUGAAGUAUUUCGGUAUGUAAACUUCGAAAGAAUAGGAAGAAUUAAUGCCGGUACUAUUUAUAAGGCCCGGCUAACUACGUG